rnacentral:lncRNA from 10 species
UGGGUGACAGAGUGAGACCCUAUCUCAAAAAAAAAAAAUUAAAAAAUUAAAAACCAUUAAAGAGUGUAUAUCAAGAUGUCAGUUGGAUAAGCAGAGAGGGGCUCAGAUAGGAAACCUGGGCUGGAAUUAUAAAUCUAGGAAUCAACAGAAUCUAGACCAUAACUGAAGCAAUGGGUGUGAAUGAGCUGACCCCGGGUGGUCCAGGAGAGAGCCUAAGACAGAGAAGGAAGGAAGGCCAAGAUUCAGUGGUCAGAGUAGGAUGAAUUGCAGUCAGAGGGGACUAAGAAGUAGCAGUCAAUGGUAUGAAGAAAACCUGCAGACUGUGGUUUCCAGAAAAUCAACAGAAGAAAGAGUUCAGGAAGAAGGAAGUUGUCAACAAUGUCAAAUCUGCUGGGCAAUGAGGUUCAUUCCCACAACCAAAGACUGCCUGGUGAACCAAGCAGGAAACUCCACCCUUCCGAAGGCUGUGAGAGGAGAGGGAAGGUGUGAACACUCAUCAUUUAACACCUGUCCUUUCUGCCCUGCCACAUUUACAGAAAUCACGUAAAAGCAACCAAAAUGGUCAAGAAGGUUUGUUGUUGUUUGUUUUGACCAAAGCCAUGUGCUCUCCUUCCAUUUAUUCUAGCAGUGACAAAAUGUCAGUAUUUCAAAGCAGGGAGAGCCUGCAUAAUUAUUUGGUUCAAAUCAUUCCUUUUUCUAAUGAGGGAACUGAAGCCCAGGGAAGCUUCAUGAUCCGUCUCAUCAGUGGGGUUUUCACAUUCUUUGAGAAUGUGAAAUACUGGAGAAUUAAUCUGAGCAAAUCAUAUGAAGAGGUGAGCCGUGGUGCUCAAUGAAAAUGAACUUAUCUUCCCUCUCUGAACUCAAAAGUGCUUCCAUUCAAGUCAAAUGCUCUUCAAGUCUGAAAAUGAAAGCCUCCUGCCUUUUAAUGGGGAGAGAAAUUGUGUCACUUAAUUGUGGAAGGAUCAGAAGAGGAAACCUCAUAACAAAGGAACCUAAAUCCAGGAUUCUGGAGCUCUCAGCAGUGGAAGGAAAAUGAUUCUCCUGACCUGGAAAUGACCCUCCCUUGGAAUGAGAGUAUUGUGGUUGCCUGACACUCCGAAGGAUAGCAGUGCUCAAAGUCCUGGGGCUUUGAUGGGUUUUGAAGGGGCUGGAGGGUGGGGGAGCUGGGGAGUAGGAGGGGGCUGUGGAGGGAGAAGGAUGGGAGGUUCUGCAGGGGACAGAGCUAUUGCUUGGUGUUGGUGUCCUCAGGCUGUCCCUGGGGAGGGGGCUGCUAGGGAAUGGACUGUGGAGAAACCUGCAGGGGGCCAGGAACUCAAGUCUUGUCAGUUCUGGGUCACUGAAGGCACAUGGCUUAGAAUAAAGCAUCCAUAAAUCGCCUUAUGCAUCGGAAAGAAACUGACAGCGGGGCUUGAAAGGACAUCCAUUUCUGGAAUAAUCCGAGAGUGUUGCAGCUUCAGCAGAGCAGAUUCAAUGGGGAGGAGGGGAUUUUCAUUUUGCGGUGGUUUUGCCCCCAUUGGGAGGUCUAUCCAGAGGACGUGAGAGGUGAAGCUGAAGGCAAAAACUCUCGCCAUCAACCCAGAGGGCAGUUUCUCUUGAAUUCUUCACUCAUCUCUGAAAAAAAGGAACCAAACAUCAUAGCCAUUUGCCAGUGCAGAAAUGAAAGCAAGA